GUUUCACAGUGGUGGUAAAGGAGCAUCAGAUUUUGCUGUAAAAGCCAUGAUAAGCUCAGUAGCUUCUGCAGCACCAACACAGCCCUGUAGUCCGCCAUUGUUGUUUUGGUUCUACAGCGCACGCGGCGAAGGCUGGUCGGGCAGAGCAGAAGUGGCAUCAUCAGGUGUUUAAUUGGAGGCAAUCAGGAGCUCCUCUUUACCACCCUGGGUUGAGGCUUCAGACGUCAGAGUAUUCCUUCAGCUACUGAGGGUGCCUCCAACACCCUGCCAGUAAAUCUGCCUUCCACCAGCCAGCCAACUCACCUUUGUUUGUUCCUUAGUUAUUAAACUCCUUCACCAUCU